GCACCCGUAGCUCAACGGAUAGAGUAUCUGUCUUCGGAACAGAAAAUAGAGGUUCGAUUCCUCUCGGGUGCA
rnacentral:tRNA from 1 species